rnacentral:rRNA from 1 species
UACGUAGGGUGCAAGCGUUGUCCGGAAUUAUUGGGCGUAAAGAGCGUGUAGGCGGCCCGACCAGUCCGCUGUGAAAGUCCAGGGCUCAACCCUGGAAUGCCGGUGGAUACUGUCGGGCUAGAGUCCGGGAAGGGGCGAGUGGAAUUCCUGGUGUAGCGGUGAAAUGCGCAGAUAUCAGGAGGAGCACCAAUGGCGAAGGCAGCUCGCUGGGACGUGACUGACGCUGAGACGCGAAAGCGUGGGGAGCAAACAGG